CAGUGGUACCGGGACCUGAAUAGAUGGUGCGGCCCCGGCUGACGGCUCAGUAACCGUGGAUAAUCUGCCCUAAGGUGGAGGAUAAUCUCUCGGGAAACUGAGAAUAAUACUCCAUAGUCUAGAUGCUGGAAUGCACUUAGGCUGAAAACUUCGGUGCCCUAGGAUGAUCUGCGGACUCUCAGGUGUAGUCAGGGUAAAGACCUGACUAGCCUACGACGGAUACGGGUUUUGAGAGAAAUAACCCGGAGAUGAUAUCUGAGACACCCUUCAAGCCCUACGGGGCGCAGCAGGCGCGAAUACUUCGCACUGCGCGAAAGCGCGACGAGGGAAUCCCAUGUAUGCACGUAAGUGUAUACUGUUUCUAAGUCUAAAAGCAGAGAGAGUAAGAGCUGGGUAGACGGGUGCCAGCCGCCGCGGUAAUACCUGCAGCUCGAGUGGUGAUCGUAUAUUGGGCCUAAACGUCCGUAGCCGGUCUCUAAAUGCCUGGGUAAUCGUAUGGCUUAACAUACGAUCUGGUAACUGUAGACUGAGACCGGAGAGCUAAGUACUCUGGGUAAGUGAAUCUGUAUCCUAGGCGACCGACCGGAGAGCAGC
rnacentral:rRNA from 1 species